rnacentral:rRNA from 1 species
UCCUGGGGCUGUAGUCGGUCCCAAGGGUUGGGCUGUUCGCCCAUUAAAGCGGUACGCGAGCUGGGUUCAGAACGUCGUGAGACAGUUCGGUCCCUAUCCGUCGUGGGCGUAGGAAAUUUGAGAGGAGCUGUCCUUAGUACGAGAGGACCGGGAUGGACAUACCUCUGGUGUACCAGUUGUCGUGCCAACGGCAUAGCUGGGUAGCUAUGUGUGGACGGGAUAAGUGCUGAAAGCAUCUAAGCAUGAAGCCCCCCUCAAGAUGAGAUUUCCCAACUUCGGUUAUAAGAUCCCUCAAAGAUGAUGAGGUUAAUAGGUUCGAGGUGGAAGCAUGGUGACAUGUGGAGCUGACGAAUACUAAUCGAUCGAAGACUUAAUCAAAUU